UUAAGUUAUUAAGGGCGCACGGUGGAUGCCUUGGCACUAGAAGCCGAUGAAGGACGUUACUAACGACGAUAUGCUUUGGGGAGCUGUAAGUAAGCUUUGAUCCAGAGAUUUCCGAAUGGGGAAACCCAGCAUGAGUUAUGUCAUGUUAUCGAUAUGUGAAUACAUAGCAUAUCAGAAGGCACACCCGGAGAACUGAAACAUCUUAGUACCCGGAGGAAGAGAAAGAAAAUUCGAUUCCCUUAGUAGCGGCGAGCGAAACGGGAAGAGCCCAAACCAAAAAGCUUGCUUGUUGGGGUUGUAGGACACUCUAUACGGAGUUACAAAGGACGACAUUAGACGAAUCAUCUGGAAAGAUGAAUCAAAGAAGGUAAUAAUCCUGUAGUCGAAAAUGUUGUCUCUCUUGAGUGGAUCCUGAGUACGACGGAGCACGUGAAAUUCCGUCGGAAUCUGGGAGGACCAUCUCCUAAGGCUAAAUACUCUCUAGUGACCGAUAGUGAACCAGUACCGUGAGGGAAAGGUGAAAAGCACCCCGGAAGGAGAGUGAAAUAGAACCUGAAACCGUGUGCUUACAAGUAGUCAGAGCCCGUUAAUGGGUGAUGGCGUGCCUUUUGUAGAAUGAACCGGCGAGUUACGAUUUGAUGCAAGGUUAAGCAGUAAAUGUGGAGCCGUAGCGAAAGCGAGUCUGAAUAGGGCGUUUAGUAUUUGGUCGUAGACCCGAAACCAGGUGAUCUACCCUUGGUCAGGUUGAAGUUCAGGUAACACUGAAUGGAGGACCGAACCGACUUACGUUGAAAAGUGAGCGGAUGAACUGAGGGUAGCGGAGAAAUUCCAAUCGAACCUGGAGAUAGCUGGUUCUCUCCGAAAUAGCUUUAGGGCUAGCCUCAAGUGAUGAUUAUUGGAGGUAGAGCACUGUUUGGACGAGGGGCCCCUCUCGGGUUACCGAAUUCAGACAAACUCCGAAUGCCAAUUAAUUUAACUUGGGAGUCAGAACAUGGGUGAUAAGGUCCGUGUUCGAAAGGGAAACAGCCCAGACCACCAGCUAAGGUCCCAAAAUAUAUGUUAAGUGGAAAAGGAUGUGGCGUUGCCCAGACAACUAGGAUGUUGGCUUAGAAGCAGCCAUCAUUUAAAGAGUGCGUAAUAGCUCACUAGUCGAGUGACACUGCGCCGAAAAUGUACCGGGGCUAAACAUAUUACCGAAGCUGUGGAUUGUCCUUUGGACAAUGGUAGGAGAGCGUUCUAAGGGCGUUGAAGCAUGAUCGUAAGGACAUGUGGAGCGCUUAGAAGUGAGAAUGCCGGUGUGAGUAGCGAAAGACGGGUGAGAAUCCCGUCCACCGAUUGACUAAGGUUUCCAGAGGAAGGCUCGUCCGCUCUGGGUUAGUCGGGUCCUAAGCUGAGGCUGACAGGCGUAGGCGAUGGAUAACAGGUUGAUAUUCCUGUACCACCUAUAAUCGUUUUAAUCGAUGGGGGGACGCAGUAGGAUAGGCGAAGCGUGCGAUUGGAUUGCACGUCUAAGCAGUAAGGCUGAGUAUUAGGCAAAUCCGGUACUCGUUAAGGCUGAGCUGUGAUGGGGAGAAGACAUUGAGUCUUCGAGUCGUUGAUUUCACACUGCCGAGAAAAGCCUCUAGAUAGAAAAUAGGUGCCCGUACCGCAAACCGACACAGGUAGUCAAGAUGAGAAUUCUAAGGUGAGCGAGCGAACUCUCGUUAAGGAACUCGGCAAAAUGACCCCGUAACUUCGGGAGAAGGGGUGCUCUUUAGGGUUAACGCCCAGAAGAGCCGCAGUGAAUAGGCCCAAGCGACUGUUUAUCAAAAACACAGGUCUCUGCUAAACCGUAAGGUGAUGUAUAGGGGCUGACGCCUGCCCGGUGCUGGAAGGUUAAGAGGAGUGGUUAGCUUCUGCGAAGCUACGAAUCGAAGCCCCAGUAAACGGCGGCCGUAACUAUAACGGUCCUAAGGUAGCGAAAUUCCUUGUCGGGUAAGUUCCGACCCGCACGAAAGGCGUAACGAUUUGGGCACUGUCUCAACGAGAGACUCGGUGAAAUCAUAGUACCUGUGAAGAUGCAGGUUACCCGCGACAGGACGGAAAGACCCCGUGGAGCUUUACUGUAGCCUGAUAUUGAAAUUCGGCACAGCUUGUACAGGAUAGGUAGGAGCCUUUGAAACGUGAGCGCUAGCUUACGUGGAGGCGCUGGUGGGAUACUACCCUAGCUGUGUUGGCUUUCUAACCCGCACCACUUAUCGUGGUGGGAGACAGUGUCAGGCGGGCAGUUUGACUGGGGCGGUCGCCUCCUAAAAGGUAACGGAGGCGCUCAAAGGUUCCCUCAGAAUGGUUGGAAAUCAUUCAUAGAGUGUAAAGGCAUAAGGGAGCUUGACUGCGAGACCUACAAGUCGAGCAGGGUCGAAAGACGGACUUAGUGAUCCGGUGGUUCCGCAUGGAAGGGCCAUCGCUCAACGGAUAAAAGCUACCCCGGGGAUAACAGGCUUAUCUCCCCCAAGAGUUCACAUCGACGGGGAGGUUUGGCACCUCGAUGUCGGCUCAUCGCAUCCUGGGGCUGUAGUCGGUCCCAAGGGUUGGGCUGUUCGCCCAUUAAAGCGGUACGCGAGCUGGGUUCAGAACGUCGUGAGACAGUUCGGUCCCUAUCCGUCGUGGGCGUAGGAAAUUUGAGAGGAGCUGUCCUUAGUACGAGAGGACCGGGAUGGACAUACCUCUGGUGUACCAGUUGUCGUGCCAACGGCAUAGCUGGGUAGCUAUGUGUGGACGGGAUAAGUGCUGAAAGCAUCUAAGCAUGAAGCCCCCCUCAAGAUGAGAUUUCCCAACUUCGGUUAUAAGAUCCCUCAAAGAUGAUGAGGUUAAUAGGUUCGAGGUGGAAGCAUGGUGACAUGUGGAGCUGACGAAUACUAAUCGAUCGAAGACUUAAUCAA
rnacentral:rRNA from 1 species